AUUGAACGCUGGCGGCAUGCUUUACACAUGCAAGUCGAACGGUAACAGGCCUUCGGGUGCUGACGAGUGGCGAACGGGUGAGUAAUGCAUCGGAACGUGCCCAAUCGUGGGGGAUAACGUAGCGAAAGUUACGCUAAUACCGCAUAAGCCCUGAGGGGGAAAGUGGGGGACCGCAAGGCCUCACGCGAAUGGAGCGGCCGAUGUCAGAUUAGCUAGUUGGUGGGGUAAAGGCCCACCAAGGCGACGAUCAGUAGCGGGUCUGAGAGGAUGAUCCGCCACACUGGGACUGAGACACGGCCCAGACUCCUACGGGAGGCAGCAGUGGGGAAUUUUGGACAAUGGGCGAAAGCCUGAUCCAGCCAUGCCGCGUGUCUGAAGAAGGCCUUCGGUGUAAGGACUUUAGUCUAGG
rnacentral:rRNA from 1 species